rnacentral:lncRNA from 1 species
AGCACCGCCCGCCUGCCCGCCCGCCAUGGCUGUGGACUAGAGGUGCUGCCCGUGGCGGCCGGCAGUACCUGGCGGGCCCCAGGCUGCGGGCAGGCUUGGACUUGGCCAUGGCCGCUCCUGUUUGGAGGUGUGCACGUGGGUCCCAUGUCCCCAGCAGGCAGGCACCUUCAGUCCGUCUUAACCUCACCCUCCAAAUGUUCAACGGCAGAAGGGUUUUUAUGAUUUUAAAUUAUUACUGCUUUGAAAUAAAUGGACGUUUGAGCCACGUGCGGCCAUGCAUGGUCUGUGGAGAGUCAGCAGAACUGUCGCCAGGCCCAGCCCGCCACACGCCCUGGGAGGCCGGGCCCAGCACCCAACCAGCGCCGGCCUCGGGACCACAAGGGUGACCAGCAGACCCAGGAACAAACUGCUCCAGCAGACAAUUUUUUUUUUUUAAGGGAAAUGUGUGUUAUCUGGAAAGCUAUUUAAAAUACACCUACUCAAAAAAGC